GGGUGCGUGGCGGAAUUGGCAGACGCGCUAGACUUAGGAUCUAGUACCGCAAGGUGUGAGAGUUCAAGUCUCUCCGCGCCCA
rnacentral:tRNA from 1 species